rnacentral:rRNA from 1 species
AACAAACGCUGGCGGCGUGCCUAAUACAUGCAAGUCGAACGGGGUAGCAAUACCUAGUGGCGCACGGGUGAGGAACGCGUGGAUAAUCUGCCUUAGAGUGGGGGAUAACUAGUCGAAAGAUUAGCUAAUACCGCAUAAGACCACAGGAGCUGCGGCUCUAGGGGUCAAAGGUUUUUCGCUCUAAGAUGAGUCCGCGUAAGGUUAGCUAGUUGGUGAGGUAACGGCUCACCAAGGCGACGAUCUUUAACUGGUCUGAGAGGAUGAUCAGUCACACUGGAACUGAGACACGGUCCAGACUCCUACGGGAGGCGGCAGUAGGGAAUAUUGCACAAUGGAGGAAACUCUGAUGCAGCGACGCCGCGUGAGUGAUGAAGGCCUUCGGGUCGUAAAGCUCUGUCGCAGGGGAAUAACACAAUGAAUGUACCCUGUAAGAAAGGAUCGGCUAACUUCGUGCCAGCCGCCGCAGUAAGAC